AAAGUACUCCCUCCGUCCCAAAAUUCUUGUCUUGGAUUUGUCUAGAUACGGAUGUAUCAAGUCACAUUUUAGUAUUAGAUACAUAUGUAUCUAGACAAAUCUAAGACAAGAAAUUUGGGACAGAGGGAGUAGUUG
rnacentral:pre_miRNA from 1 species